ensembl:snRNA U6 U6 spliceosomal RNA
AAUUAGUGCUCGCUUUGGCAGCAUAUAUAAUUAAAAAAAAAAAACGGAAUGACACAGAGAUUAGCAUGGCCCCUGCGCAAGGACGACACGCAAAUUCUUGAAGUAUUCCACUAAAAA